CUUUUCAAAUAUAUAUAAUUACUAUUAUUCCUACUAUGCUAACUCAAUUAUCCAAACGUAAUUUUUCUUAUUCUUCAAAAUAUCUUGAUUCUCAUCCAAAUUAGUGUAAUUUAUACUUUUUUUUUUAGAAAUUGUAAAUGUUCCAAAAAUAAACAAGAAUAGGUUAUUUCUAACAAACUCGUUGAACAAUAUUAUUACCGACUGUUCCUAGAGCAAGUGGCAAAGGACUUGGUGGUUGGUACCAGAGGUCCCAAGUUCGAAUCCUAGUUGAGUCACAUUUCCAGCUAAGUUUAUUCUAAAUAAAAUAAACGAAACGGAUAGCGUGCUACCUAUUUCUAAAAAAAAAAAAUAUUGUUGUCUUUUUCUUCUGGCUCAAUCGCGCACCUUUCAAAACUUUAUAAGAUGCAAAUGACAAAGGGCAUGAUGGUUGAUACCCGAAACUCAAGUUUCAAUCCUAAUUGAUUCAUAUUUCUAGCUAAGUUUAUUUCUAAAUGAAAUAAACGAAACGGAUAGUGUGCUACC
rnacentral:lncRNA from 1 species